UUUUUUUUUUUUUUUUUUUUUUUUUUCUACAUUGUUUUCAAAGCUGGUGUUCAGUGGUCUGUCUAGUGGUCUUCUUUCUGGAAUAAAAAACGCUUCAUUAACCCCUUCCAUUCAUUGGGGGGUUUAUUUCUGUAGAAGAAUUCAAAGAUAUUGUUAUCCAUAGUCCUUGAAGAGGGACCAAGACCCUGCCCCCAAAGCUGCACUUUUGUUUCCUGAUUGUUCCCCUCCCUUCCCUGAUUAGCAACUGUUGGAACCUGACCUUUGGAACCCAGGGAAGAUCAUGGAGGCUGAAGUUUAUUCCAUAAACACAAGCAAUGGGGGACAUGGAAAGGCUUAUGUGCCCAGGAGCCCCAGAGGGCACUAGCUCAGUUACAGUAGGGGUGCUGCGCCACUGGGGUUCGGAGAGAUAGCUGGAGCUGGGGAGAAGUCUCCCAACAGAAGCUGUGGAUUUAGUUGGGGGCAGUGAUGGCCAUGCCUUGGGACCCACAGAGAGGCAGCUGGAGGAAUAAAUACCCCCAUCUGGUGUGCCUCCCACUCUCUGAUCUUCUGCCAGCAUCUUAAGCUGACCAAGAACAACCAGAAACAGUCAAGGAAGCCCGGGGCAACAGAGGUCAUCGCCUCUGGCUCUGGAGAAGGGAAAAGCAAGGAGAGAAAUGCUCAGGGUCAAAGAAGUGGAAAGUAUCCAGCACACAAUUAUUCGUGUGAAAAACAGGUGGGCGAGAAGAGGAGUUGUGUCUCUACUUAUUCAUGUGUAUGUCUGUAGAUGCAUAAUCAUUUUUGGAAUGAUAACACAAAAAGACACAGUAGAAACUUCUGAAAAGAAGUGACCUACUUUCCAUGGUGUAACUUUUUAUCUACUGUUUGAUUUUUAUCUUGUGCAUUUAUUAUAUAUUCAAACCAUCCCUCCAUCAAUCAUUAACAAGAAUUGUUGUUUUUGUGCCAAAUAUGGGCUUGGGAUGCAGCCAAUAGGGGCAUGCAGGUGAUCUAAGCUAGGCCAAUCAUAACACUCCCCUCCUGGCCACAGGGAUUGGUCAAAAGUUUGGCACAUGAUUCACACUCAACCAAUCAGAGCCUCCCUUGAGUUUUUCAUCCUAGAGCUGGGAGGGUGAGGUCCUUCUUUCCUGUGGUUGAGGCCUCAUCAGCAUGUGGGUCUAGAGAUGUCCGUGGUAAUAGUAGCUGACAGUUACAGGAUUUUUACAUUCUAUUGAAACCUGUGAGUUGCAGAUACACUGUUUUUUACCCUCAAAUGGCAGUUUCAUCUAGUUUAACGGAAUAUACACCAGGUCCUCAAGGAGAGGGGCCUAUGCAAGGCAGGUUCACCAUCACAGUGGGAAUUUUGCAGCCAAUUAGGAUUCUGCCUACUUUACCUACAUUAACUCAUUUAAUUUUCAAACAGCAUCUCAUAAAGUGGGUAUCAUUGUUAUUAACCUCAUACUAGGGCUGUGACGACUGAGGAAGAGAGGGACUGAGCGUUUCGUGGGGGAAUGCAGAGGCCUUGGUGCUCUCUUGCCUCCCCCUCUGCUGGGGCCCCCAUGUGGAGGGGCCUCCCUGCAGUGCAGGGGCUGCGGUGCAGAGGACAGGCAGAGCGGCAGCAUCCUGAGGGGUUAGGAUCCUAGCCCUAUGCCUCUCCAGGGGCGCACCACCUCAGCUGGGCUCUCAAUUGUAUUAUACUCACCAAUCAAGGCCCUGCAAGAUCAAGAGGAGUAUCUGGUAUUUGCAAUAGACUGGACUUUUAAAUCAGUUUCCCCAUGCAAUCAAUUGAACUGCAUCCCUCCAAAAACUAUGACCAUGUCUUUUUUCUUUUUUUUUUUUUUUUUUGUCUAUUAGGGUCGCACCCACAGCAUAUGGAAGGUCUCAGGCUAGGGGGUGAAUCGGAGCUGCAGCUGCCAGCCUACACCACAGCCAGAUCUGAGUUGCAUCUGCGAUCUACACCACAGCUCAUGGCAACACUGGAUCCUUAACCCACUGAACAAUGUAAGGGAUCAAACUCACAUCUUUAUGAGUAAUAGUUGGGUUCUUAACCUGAUGAGCUAUGAUGAGAACUCCAAUAUGUCCACGUGUUAACCCUGGAAGAUGUGAAUGUGGCUUUGUCUGGAAAUAGGGCCUUUGCACAUGUAAUUAAGAAUCUCAAGCUCAUCCCUGAUUUAGAGUGGGCCCUAAAUCCAAUGACUGGGGUUUUUAUGAGAAAGACAGAAGGACACUUGAGACCCAGACAUAGGGGAGGAGGCCAUGUGAAGAUGGAGGCAGAGACUGGAGUGAUGCUGCCAAAAGCCAAGGAUGCCUAAAACCUCUGGGAGCUGGAAGAGGCAGGAAGGGUCCUACCCGAGAGUCUUCAGAUGGAGCAUGGGCCCGUUGACUUAGACCUCUGGCCUCCAGAAAUGUGAGAGAGUAUAUCAUUGUUGCCUUAAGCCCCCCAGGUUGUGGUUAUUUGGUACCAGAGAUUUGGGAAAGUAAUACAACCCAUUACCUCUUUUCUUGCCAACUGUGUUCAGAGAGGGCAUCAGAAAUGGAGUCAAGCUCUGAGAUGGUCCAGAGUAAGAUCUGGAUUUGGUUUUCUGUUGAUCCCUGAGAAGAAAGCCCUUUAAGGGAGUUACCGUUGUAGCUCAGUGAUAAUGAAUCCCGCUAGUAUUCAUGAGAAUGUAAGUUCAAUCCAUGGCCUCAUUCAUUGGGUUAAGGAUCUGUCAUUGCCAUGAGCUGUAGUGUAGGUUGCAGAUGUGGCUUGGAUCCCACUUGCUGUGGCUGUGGUGUAGGCUGGCAGCUGCAGUUCUGAUUCCACCCCUAGCCUGGGAACUUCAAACAUGCUGCAGGUGUAGCCCUUUUUAAAGCGGGAGAAAAAAAAAAAAAAGUCCUUUAAAUAUUUCAGAGGUGGGGAGGGGACAUGGAGAGUGGAAGCUGAAGAAUAGUGAGAGAAUCUUGGCUCAUUUAGAAGAUCCGAGCAAUUUCUAGAAUGGGGCAUAGCUAGACUUGCUCGAGAUAAUUUUCUAAUUUUUAUAGACUUUCUAUGAGUCUCUGUGGUGGGCAGGAUUCUGAAUGGGCUCCAAAAUUCCACCCUUGGUCUGUACAUCCCAUAUAAUUUUGUGUCCUUGAGUGGGUAGACCUGAAAAUAAAAAGGGACAGUGACUCCCUUGGUUAUGUCAUAUUAUAUAAGAGGCAGAGGUAGCUGAACUAGAGCGAGAGGCUCCUGCUGGCUUUGAGAGCUAAGCUGUCAUCGUGAGUGAGCCAGGUGUUGAGGACCUGAGAGCGACCUACAGCUGACAGCCAACAAAGAACAGAGGACCUCAGUCUGCUGACCUCAAGGAACUGAAUUGUGUCAAUGACCCAGAUGGUUUGGAAGCAAGCCCGCACAUCAGAGGAGUGAGCAGCCUCAGCCCCCACCUGGACACGGUGCCUCUGCCAGCAAGAAAGCACAGCUGAAGGAAGCCUUGGUCCUAAUUGAGCAUAGGAAGUACACGGGCCUUUCAUCCACUGGUCAGAGAAUGCUUCUUCUCCCACAGGAGUGAAGACAGAAGGUAGAAUGAUCGUCAGUCUUGGAAAGAAUAUGCAAUGAACUGAAAAGAUGCAUUGAUGAUGGCAAUGAUGUUUUCAUAUAUUAGCCCCCUCCUGUCCUCACACAGGCAUGAGGAAGAUUAAUGCCCUGGAAAUCUUCUAUGGUCUAGCACUGUAUUAUUAUUGUUAUUUUGAAGAUUAUCCUAGAGUUUCCAUUUUUGGAGGUGGCUGCUAUAAUGAGGGUAACUGGUGUGGAUAUUUCAGAAAGAUUUCACAAAUGAUGAAGCUAUAAUUAGCCACUUAGACUGGGCAGUAGCUUUUCCAAAUGCCAGGUGGUGGUGGGAAUCUCUAGUUAUCAUUCCUGCACCAUUGACAGAGAAACUGAGACCCAGAGAAUUCAAAGACCCACUCAAGUCCUUGGCGUGAGUGAGCAUUAGACAGCUCUGGAGCCCAGCACCCCAGCUGAAAUGACUGUCCUCAAAUAUGUUAACAGGAUUAGAAUGGGGGGUUCAGGGAGUUCCCAGGGGGCAUGGGUUAAGGAUGGGCUCAGCUCACUGCUGCAGCUCAGGUUUGAUCCCUGGCCCGGGAACUUCCACAUGUCACAAGUGUGGCCAAAAAUAAAUAAACACAUUUAUUAAUUCAAUAACAGAAUGGGCGUUCAUGCACAGCUCACCUGUGCCACAUUUUUCAGUGAGUGGCUUGCACACUACCAUUUGGUCCAAUGCGCUUGGCAGAUGCAAACACAAGGAAAAGGCUCCAGAAUGCAUGCUUUUUUUCUGGAAGUGGAAAGAGAAUGGGUGAGUGGAGGCAGCCCUUGGUACCUGGCUGCCUGGAGGGCAGAGAAGGUCCACAAAGGCUGGAGCAGCUGGUAUUUUCGCUGGAAGGCUGCUUCCAGGACAGCCCUGUGAUGCUUCCCAGCCACUCUUGUCUGCCUUUCCUGCCUUGUGAAUAUUAAAAGAAAAA
rnacentral:lncRNA from 1 species